CAGCAGCCACGGUAGUACAUAGGGUGCAAGCGUUAAUCGGAAUUACUGGGCGUAAAGCGCGCGUAGGCGGCUUGACAAGUCUUGUGUGAAAUCUAUGGGCUCAACCCAUAGUCUGCACGGGAAACUGUCGGGCUUGAGAAUGGCAGAGGGGGGUAGAAUUCCACGUGUAGCAGUGAAAUGCGUAGAGAUGUGGAGGAAUACCGAUGGCGAAGGCAGCCCCCUGGGCCAAUACUGACGCUCAUGCACGAAAGCGUGGGGAGCAAACAGGAUUAGAUACCCCCGUAGUCCCUGUCUCUUAUAC
rnacentral:rRNA from 1 species